rnacentral:rRNA from 1 species
GACGAACGCUGGCGGCGUGCUUAACACAUGCAAGUCGAACGGAAAGGCCUGCUUUUGUGGGGUGCUCGAGUGGCGAUCGGUUGAGUAACACGUGAGUAACCUGCCCUUGCCUUUGGGAUAACUUCAGGAAACUGGGGCUAAUACCGGUUAGGAGCUCCUGCUGCAUGGUGGGGGUUGGAAAGUUUCGGCGGUUGGGGAUUGACUCGCGGCUUAUCAGCUUGUUGGUUGGGUAGUGGCUUACCAAGGCUUUGACGGGUAGCCGGCAUGAGAGGGUUAACGGCGACAUGGGGACUGAGAGACGGCACAGACGGGAACGGGAGGCAGCAGGGGGGAAUAUGGAACAAUGGGAGGAAGCCUGAGGCAGAAACGCCGGGUGCGGGAUGACGGCCUUAGGGUAGUAAAACGCUUUAGCCUGUGACGAAGCGUGAGUGACGGUAACGGGUAAAGAAGCACCGGCUAACUACGUG